rnacentral:rRNA from 1 species
GUUACUGCUAUCGAGGUUCGACUAAGCCAUGCGAGUCGAAUGUAGCAAUACAUGGCGUACUGCUCAGUAACACGUGGACAACCUACCCUUGGGACGGGGAUAAACCCGGGAAACUGGGUAUAAUACCCGAUAGAUCUCGACUGCUGGAAUGCAUCGAGUUCGAAAGCUCCGGCGCCCAAGGAUGGGUCUGCGGCCUAUCAGGUAGUAGUGGGUGUAGCGUACCUACUAGCCUACGACGGGUACGGGUUGUGAGAGCAAGAGCCCGGAGAUGGAUUCUGAGACACGAAUCCAGGCCCUACGGGGUGCAGCAGGCGCGAAAACUUUACAAUGCUGGAAACAGCGAUAAGGGGACCUCGAGUGCCAGGUUACAAAUCUGGCUGUCGUGAUGCCUAAAAAGCAUUGCAUAGCAAGGGCCGGGCAAGACCGGUGCCAGCCGCCGCGGUAACACCGGCGGCUCGAGUGGUAACCGUUAUUAUAGGGUCUAAAGGGUCUGUAGCCGGCCGGAUAAGUCUCUUGGGAAAUCUGGCAGCUUAACUGUCAGGCUUUCAGGGGAUACUGUCUGGCUCGAGGCCGGGAGAGGUGAGAGGUACUUCAGGGGUAGGGGUGAAAUCUUGUAAUCCUUGAAGGACCACCAGUGGCGAAGGCGUCUCACCAGAACGGACCUGACGGCAAGGGACGAAAGCUAGGGGCACGAACCGGAUUAGAUACCCGGGUAGUCCUAGCCGUAAACGAUACUCGCUAGGUGUCGGCCACGGUGCGACCGUGGUCGGUGCCGUAGGGAAGCCGUGAAGCGAGCCACCUGGGAAGUACGGCCGCAAGGCUGAAACUUAAAGGAAUUGGCGGGGGAGCAC